rnacentral:ncRNA from 1 species
UGGGGACUAGCAGGCUCCCCCGUCAGACAGUUUCCGUCCAAGCUCUGC